UCCAAUUUUACAAACUGAAAACUAUGACAGUACAAGCAGAUCUCAGUUUGCACAUGGAAAAUACAUUUCUCAGCUUUACAAACUGAAAAUUACUGUAUGAUAGUGCAAGCAGAUCUCAGUUUCAAAAUGGAAAAUACACUUCUCAGUUUUACAAACUGAAAAUUAUGACAGUACAAGCAGUUUCAAAAUCUCCAAGAAGUCACCUGGAAAUGCAAAGUCUCCAGGGGAAAGCACUCGAGUAAGCUCAUCACCUUGAGAACUUCACAAUAAUAGCCAUGAUCUUCAAGCUAUGUUUACAAGCAGAUCUCAGUUGUUCAGUUUCACAAGAAGAUCUCAAUUUUUCAGUUUUGACAGUCAAGCAUCCUCACCUUUGCUCUGUCGUCACGGGAGGCGACAGUGGUGGCUGCCCUAUCCCCAUGAGCUCGACGUGACAACCUCUCCUCUCUCCGGGCUCCGGCGACCUGCACCAGAACACCAAC
rnacentral:lncRNA from 1 species